AUAUAAGGAUAAGUUGAAGCACAAACACGUAUUUUUCUUUCUUCUUUCUCCACCAUCGUGUUUCUCAUUCCUCCCAUGGCUAAAAUCUCCAUUUUCAAUCUCUCUUCAAUUCUCCAACAAUCAAGUGUUGCAUGCCUUUUUGGUUGAACACAUGAUCAUUAGAAACACAUCAAAGGUUCAACUUCAGUUCCUAUUUCUUCUCUUUCUCCUAUGGCCGAAAAUCCAUUCUCCAUGGCCAAAUUCUGUUUUCUCUCAAAUUGAACCUUGCAUGUACCAAAUUCUUGCUCCUCCUCAUUAUUGGGUACCGUUAUGUAGCAAAGGUAAGAAGAAUGAACUCACUUUAUCUCUAAUUCUUUCUAAUUAGUUGAACCCUAAAAUCCCAUUUUUGUUGAAGUCCCAUUUUCCCCAAUUUUCAUAACUCUUUUUCACUCUUGAAGCUUUUAUUCAUGAAUUUUACUUUGGGUUUGAAUAUUUCAUAUGUUGGAAAAUUCAUGUAAAAUUCGUAUGGACCUACUGCUAGUAUUUCCAUCAUAAAUUCCACCCUGUAACUUGGAUUUAAACGACGAUUGAAUUUUCAUAAUCUAAACGAAAUUACCUUCAGUUUAGCCAUUCGUUUUGUAGCAUUUGGUUUAGUAACGAGCUCUGAAAACGUGUUUGAAGUUGGAGCACUGAUGGAGAGUUUGUGCAGAAUUCGUGUUAGAAUAGGUCUGCACUCAAACGGUAAAUAAUCCUUCUCUGUAAUUCCGUUUGGAUUGAUUUUUAAUGAUUUGGAAAGCUAACUCAAUUACGGUCGUUGUGGUACCGGUUUCAUAAUUUUUGGACGAGAAAUGAGGUCAUAGGAAUUGUCGGUAGUAUUGUUCAAGCAUCUUUUCAUGUGGGUUUCUUUAAGUAGAGACAUGGCAACCAUAAGACCAAAACAUAGGAUUUUUAUUUAGGGUAAAUAGGGUUUUAUCCCCUGCAAAAUAGGUGAAUUUUGCAUUAUCCUGCAAAAUAUAUUUUUUGGAUUAGCCCUGUAAUAUGAAGAUUCUAUUAAUUCCCCCUGAUGUUACAACAAGGCAGAUGAUUGUAUCAGAAUCUUGAUGUGGCAUGCUUAGUGGCUUUUAUUUCAUUUUUGAUUAAUUU
rnacentral:lncRNA from 1 species